GUCGAUAUGGCCGAGUGGUCUAAGGCGAAUGACUUGAAAUCAUUUCCUCUCUGAGGGCGCAGGUUCAAACCCUGCUGUCGACG